rnacentral:rRNA from 1 species
CGAACGCUGGCGGCGUGCCUAAUACAUGCACGUCGAGCGAAGUUUUUCUGGUGCUUGCACCGGAAAAACUUAGCGGCGAACGGGUGAGUAACACGUAAAGAACCUGCCUCAUAGACUGGGACAACUAUUGGAAACGAUAGCUAAUACCGGAUAAUAGCAUUAACUGCAUGGUUGAUGUUUAAAAGUUGGUUUUGCUAACACUAUGAGAUGGCUUUGCGGUGCAUUAGCUAGUUGGUGGGGUAAAGGCCUACCAAGGCGACGAUGCAUAGCCGACCUGAGAGGGUGAUCGGCCACACUGGGACUGAGACACGGCCCAGACUCCUGCGGGAGGCAGCAGUAGGGAAUCUUCCGCAAUGGGCGAAAGCCUGACGGAGCAACGCCGCGUGAGUGAAGAAGGAUUUCGGUUCGUAAAGCUCUGUUGUUAGGGAAGAAUGAUUGUGUAGUAACUAUACACAGUAGAGACGGUACCUAACCAGAAAGCCACGGCUAACUACGUG